rnacentral:ribozyme from 1 species
AAUACCUAAACUUCUGUAAAAGGGUUGGAUCCGACGCCCCUAGAAGGCUAUUAUAGGCUCUUCUUCUCAACUCCUACUCAAUACGUCCACGUCGUGCAGAACGGUAACUUGUCGCCCAGAUCCAAGCUUGGGUACA